AUGAACGCUGGCGGCGUGCCUCAUCCAUGCAAGUCGAGCGAACAGACGAGGAGCUUGCUCCUCUGACGUUAGCGGCGGACGGGUGAGUAACACGUGGAUAACCUACCUAUAAGACUGGGAUAACUUCGGGAAACCGGAGCUAAUACCGGAUAAUAUAUUGAACCGCAUGGUUCAAUAGUGAAAGACGGCUUUGCUGUCACUUAUAGAUGGAUCCGCGCCGCAUUAGCUAGUUGGUAAGGUAACGGCUUACCAAGGCAACGAUGCGUAGCCGACCUGAGAGGGUGAUCGGCCACACUGGAACUGAGACACGGUCCAGACUCCUACGGGAGGCAGCAGUAGGGAAUCUUCCGCAAUGGGCGAAAGCCUGACGGAGCAACGCCGCGUGAGUGAUGAAGGUCUUCGGAUCGUAAAACUCUGUUAUUAGGGAAGAACAAAUGUGUAAGUAACUAUGCACGUCUUGACGGUACCUAAUCAGAAAGCCACGGCUAACUACGUG
rnacentral:rRNA from 1 species